rnacentral:misc_RNA from 1 species
AAGACUAUAGACCUGCGGAGUACCUGCGGAAGGAUCAUUACCGAGUGAGGGCCCUCUGGGUCCAACCUCCCACCCGUGUCUAUCGUACCUUGUUGCUUCGGCGGGCCCGCCUCACGGCCGCCGGGGGGCUUCUGCCCCCUGGCCCGCGCCCGCCGAAGACACCAUUGAACGCUGUCUGAAGAUUGCAGUCUGAGCAAUUAGCUAAAUAAGUUAAAACUUUUAACAACGGAUCUCUAGAUC